UACGUAGGGGGCAAGCGUUGUCCGGAUUUAUUGGGCGUAAAGAGCUCGUAGGCGGUUUGGUGAGUCGGGUGUGAAAUCUCCACGCUCAACGUGGAGGGGCCACCCGAUACUGCCAUGACUAGAGUCCGGUAGGGGAGUGUGGAAUUCCCGGUGUAGCGGUGAAAUGCGCAGAUAUCAGGAGGAACACCGAUGGCGAAGGCAGGUCUCUGGGCCACUACUGACGCUGAGAAGCGAAAGCAUGGGGAGCGAACAGG
rnacentral:rRNA from 1 species